GAACCUGCGGAAGGAUCAUUU
rnacentral:rRNA from 3 species